CACCAAAAUGUCGAUAGGUUAUGAAUAUUCACAAGUGUGCAGGGGGCAGUAACUCCUUUUACAAAAAAUAAUGCAGCAUGUAGCACAUAACAUUUUUAUUCUUUUGAGACAGUUUCCCAACCUGUGUUUCAGGAUGCAUUUCAUAAGAUGUUAAUAGAUCUUAUACUCAGAAAAGGGAUUCUAUAAUUCAGCAAGCUUGGAUGUGAAGAAAAAAAAUGGGCUUCUUUAUUCCAGAUAUUCUUAGAGCUUUUAGUAUGUUAACAUACAUUGUGAACUUCCAGUAGAACCUGGUAGGCAGUGUUUCUCAUACCUAUUUGAUAAUGAAAACUAGUUUUUGUUUGUUUGUUUUUGAGAAAUACAGGCAUUGUCCCCUUGGGAAAUUCUGUUUUAUUAGAUGACUGAUGAUGUCUAGUGCAAUAGAUUCUGCAUGUAAAAUGCCCCCAACAAAUGGUUCUCCAUCAGAGGAGAAACACUCUUAAAAGUUGACAGAUAUGGGAGUUCCCAUCGUGGCUCAGUGGUUAACGAAUCCGGCUGGGAACCAUGAGGUUGAGGGUCCGAUCCCUGGCCUUGCUCAGUGGGUUAAGGGUCCGGCGUUGCCGUGAGCUGUGGUGUAGGUCACAGACAUGGCUCGGAUCCCAUGUUGCUAUGGCGUAGGCCGGUGACUACAUCUCCGAUUCGACCCCUAGCCUGGGAACCUCCAUAUGCCGCAGGAGCAGCCCGAGAAAUGGCAAAAAUAUCAAAAAAAAAAAGUUGACAAAUAUGUACAUAUUUAUGGUUCACAAACCAGUUUGUGUAACUAACGUGGUAGCUUAUUUCUGUGCAUUGAUGAAAACAGCUGGAUUACUUUCCUAAGCUCUUUACUGUGUCCUGGGGAAGCCUUGGACAUGCAUGGCUCUGGCUUUGCUUCAGGAAGGGCUUCUUAAGCUUCUUAAGUAAGCUCUCCCACUUGCUUCCUCUCUGUCCCCCUUUCCAGCCUUUUCCCUUUUGUUCUCACUCCCCUCUUUCCUCUUCUCCAGCUGCUCCCUCAGUCUGUGGGGAGACGUGGACAAGAGACCAUGACUGUGAAGAUGCCAAAAACAGGCAGGGUGGGAAAAGACUUGACAAAGAGCACAGAGAAGGGGAUAGGGAGGCAGAGAAGAGAGGAGAGAAGGAAGAGGAGAGAAGCAUGGACACCACGGGCCACGAACAAUCCUCUUUAAACAUUUACGCUUCAUCGUCCUUUCUCCUUGUGGGCAGGUAAGAGAUCAAGCGGCAGGCAAAUCACAAAAACUCAGACAUCAGAAAUGUUCCCAAAUUGCAGGGGGGGUUUUGGCAGCAAAGGAGGACAUUUUCAUCUUUGUUACCAUGCAAUAAAGACUAUUUUGGAAGUUCCUUAGGCAAGAUCUAGCUAGAUAAGCUUUUCCUUUUUGUGGUCACUUUCCCCACCAUCGGAUUCUGUGUAUCGACAGUCUAGUCUAUGUUCCUAGAAAGAAUGAAGCUAUAGUUGACCUCCUUCUGUAGACAUUCUCACUGUGUUGCUAAGAAUGAGGGGAAAUAGAGUGAAGGGAAAAAAAAUAGGUUCCGAAGCUCAGAAAACCACCAAUGAUGAUGGAUGAGUGGGACACAAGAAACAGCAGACAGAAGUGAGCAGACUUCAAAAGAAAACCUUCUUAGCAUAUAUUACUUAGGAUUAUAUUCAGAUGUGAGAGACAGAAAACCCAAGAUAACAGUGGUUUAAAUAAGAUAGAAUUGUAUUUCUCUCUCAUCUACCAGUGUGGAUAGGUGAUAUGGUGCUCUAUACACCUUAUAUUUUUUCUAUUAGAGGCAUGGCCUUGACAUCAUGCUCCAAAAUGCUAGCAUCAGCACUGUAGACAAGAAGAUGGAAGAAGAGUGGGAAAAAAAAAAAGAGGAGAGACAAAGAGCAACUCGGGUACUCUCAGGGAAGUUUCUGGAAUGACUAUCCACCAUGCUACUUACAUCCCCUUGUUUAUAGUUGGUAUUGGUCAAUACUUUCCUGCAGGAGAAUACCGAGACAUUCAGUCUUUAUUUCAAGGCAGCCAUGUGUCCAGUCGAAACCAGCUCAUUUUCUACAGGAGAAGGAGAUAACAGACAUUGGGGGUGUGGUAAAUGAUGUAAUUAUUCACAAAAUUGUCCAGUCCCUCAUUUGCCACUGACAUCAAAUUUGGCCACAUGACUGACUUCAACCAGUGAAACAUAAGCCAAAACUUUACAAGCCAACCAGUAGUUUGCCACAUCCUCUUUGCCCUCUGCCACAGGACUGGCAAUGUUCCCAUCAGAGGCUGUCCCAUCCCUAGGUCCUGGAGAGGACGACCCAGAGUAGAGCUAUAGCUGCCUUGAGUCAGGCCUGAGACAUACAUGGAAGAUAAACCCGAUAUUUGGGGGUCACUUAUUACUGCAGCAUAACCUACCCCAGUGGUUUCAAAAUACAGUGCCCAGACCAUCAACCAUCAGCAUCUUCUGGGAACUUGUUAGAAAUGUUCAUUUACAGCCCCACCCUAGACAUACUGAUUAGAAACUCUGUGGCAGGGCCCAGCACACUGUGGUAUAACAAGUCCUCCAGGGGAUUCUGAUGCGGCUAAGCAUUUGAGCCACUGUCCUUGUCUAUUUUAACCAAGGGGGAUGGGGGUGCUAGAGCUAUUCCACACAGGUUUGACUCUCUGCCACCUAUAGGUGGAGCGAGGGAGCAUGAGUUGUCAUCUGUUCCUCGUGAGAGAAAAGAGAUUCAGUAACUACAAGAGUGGAAGUGGCAUCUUCCUGUUAUUUGGUGUGACUUUGGCCCCAGUGGAAGAGACUACAGCUAUAGAAGUGAAUCAUAGCUUUUCAAUCCAGUGAAGAUCUUUGUUAUUGUAAGAAGUGGAUAGUGGUACCCAUAUCCUUGAAGAUGCAGGAGUAGAGUGAUGGUUUAGAAAUAGAUAUCUCACUUCUUUGACCUUCUGGUACCCCAUUGUUAUGGUUGGAGUGCACACAAGCCACUGAAACAAUGUAUCUUACAGUAAAUUGCCCUAUUAAGUGGUUUAUAUCUGAUUUUUACCAGAUACUACCAUUUUGAGGCAGUGGAGACACCCAAGUUUGUUCCAAAACAUGGCUGACAGAUUAACACUUUGAAUUCACAAAUGUGGCUCAGUGUGAUGUGUGUGCAUCCUUCAGGGAGCAAAAUCUGAGGCUAUUCCCAGAAAUGCCAGGGUGCUGCUCUGUAGGGCUGGAAAUAAGCAAUGGACACAUCCUCACAGUAAAUCUUCAUUGCUUUUAUCACCCUCCUUGCAAAACUUUCUGUGGGAUCCAGAUUGCUUUGGUCUACUGGACAGAAUUCCAUAUUCUAGAUCUUUCCAUUCUCUUAUGACUCCAGGUUUGAUGAUUCAAUGGAUGGGAACUAAGAUUGUCUGCUGCUAUCUUGCUGUCUUAAAUGUGGAUUUUGUCUCAACACUGCCAAUCUUAAAGCAUGAAUGCCCCUGGCACAGGCUCUAGGAGAUGGUUGGAGGAAUGAGUCUUUCAUAGAACUGUGAAAGAAGUGCAGCCAAAUCAGGGCAAAGCGUGGGAGAAGAGAGGGAAGCAUGUGUGAGGCCAGGAAUAUUUGGUGCAGAGGUGGCACUUAGGUCUCUUUUUACUUCAGGCAACGAUGUUUUCCCCUCUGCUAUGCUUUUGUGAGAAAUUCAAGUUUCAAAUAAAAUAGCAAAUAACCCUAAUGAAGCAGCAAUUUAGCUUGAAUCAGCAAUAUUCUACAUACAUUUGCCUCACAGUGUGACCCGAGCAAACCUCCCCUUCGUGAGAAGGAGCAGGCACCUCAUUUGCUGCCUUUGGCUGAAGAUUUGCCAUAUUUAAGAGAACAAACAUGAUUUCCCUAGAAUCUAACUUCUAAUGUGCUAUGGUCAGACUAAGCUUUUAUAUUAGUCAUAUGGCAUUUUCCUCAGAGCCCACAUGGAAAACCCACUGUCUCGUCCUACUGAAUGUUCUGUGCAAAGUAUCAUCAAAGAAGCCAAAUGCCCUGAACUCCAUGGGAGAAAACCGCAGAGGACACAGUUCUGGACCUGAUUCCUGAGCAGGCUUGCUCAGAUCCCCCAGUGCCUCUCUGCCCAGGAUCAUCUCCAGGACCAGUGCAGGGCCCAGAACAAAUCCUCACCUCCACCCCCUAGUUUUUUUUUUUUUUUUUUUUUUUU
rnacentral:lncRNA from 1 species